UACGUAGGGUGCGAGCGUUGUCCGGAAUUAUUGGGCGUAAAGGGCUCGUAGGCGGUUUGUCGCGUCGGGAGUGAAAACCCAGGGCUUAACCCUGGGCUGGCUUCCGAUACGGGCAGACUAGAGGUAUGCAGGGGAGAACGGAAUUCCUGGUGUAGCGGUGAAAUGCGCAGAUAUCAGGAGGAACACCGGUGGCGAAGGCGGUUCUCUGGGCAUUACCUGACGCUGAGGAGCGAAAGCAUGGGGAGCAAACAGG
rnacentral:rRNA from 1 species